AACGAACGUUGGCGGUAGGCUUAACACAUGCAAGUCGAACGAGAAGCACACUUCGGUGUGUGGAAAGUGGCGAACGGGUGAGUAAUACUUGGGAAUCUACCCUGAAGUGGGGGAUAACAGUUAGAAAUGACUGCUAAUACCGCAUAAUCCAUAUUGGGAAAGCUUUAGUGCUUUAGGAUGAGCCCAAGCCUGAUUAGCUUGUUGGUGCGGUAAUGGCGCACCAAGGCGACGAUCAGUAGCUGGUUUGAGAGGAUGAUCAGCCACACUGGGACUGAGACACGGCCCAGACUCCUACGGGAGGCAGCAGUGGGGAAUAUUGCGCAAUGGGCGAAAGCCUGACGCAGCCAUACCGCGUGUACGAUGAAGGCCUUAGGGUUGUAAAGUACUUUUACCAGUCAUAAUAGUGAUAGUAGCUGGAGAAAAAGUCCCGGCUAAUUCAG
rnacentral:rRNA from 1 species